UGAGGGACAAAAACAUGCAAGGUAAUGUGUGUGUUUAUUGCAUGAUCCAUAGAAUACUCUAGCUAUAUGUUUUCUAUUUAAUGUUUACUGUUAGCCUGGGCUAGUUUGCCACUUUUGUAGCUAAAACAAAUUGCUAAAAUCGGACAAUUUUUUUUUGUUUUUCAGGUUAAGAUGUAUUGUCCAUUCUGUGGGUUUAAGUCUGAAAACUUGACAAAAUUUUGCUGUUCCUGUGGAAAAGACAUAAGUUUUGUUCUGGUUAAAGAUGCUGCUACCGCUGAAGACCCUGAACACUCAAGCGGAAAGUCAGUUGUUCAGCAGUUCUUCAAGUACCGUGAAGGAAAAGAGGCAGAAAGAAGGAUGUUCUCAAAAUGCAAAAAGAAAUCAAAGAAAAUAGUGAAGAUUUCUGUUGGGAUCAUGAACAAAACCAAGACUGGCAUGAGGCCUAUAAGAGGGAAAACACUACCAUUAGAUGUUGAACCAAGUUGGUCGUUUGAGAAACUUUUGGG